AGAGACAGCAGCAGCCACGGUAAUACGGAGGGGGCUAGCGUUGUUCGGAAUUACUGGGCGUAAAGCGCACGUAGGCGGCUUUGUAAGUUAGAGGUGAAAGCCUGGGGCUCAACUCCAGAAUUGCCUUUAAGACUGCAUCGCUUGAACGUCGGAGAGGUGAGUGGAAUUCCGAGUGUAGAGGUGAAAUUCGUAGAUAUUCGGAAGAACACCAGUGGCGAAGGCGGCUCACUGGACGACUGUUGACGCUGAGGUGCGAAAGCGUGGGGAGCAAACAGGAUUAGAGACCCGCGUAGUCCCUGUCUCUUAUAC
rnacentral:rRNA from 1 species